rnacentral:rRNA from 1 species
GGGACAUAUUAAAAAAGAGGAUAGGCCUCUUCUUAGAAAAAAAAAGAGGACAGACUAAGCGGAGAAUCGAGGGUUUCGGCUUCCUUGUCAUCUCGCCGUCUCCGACGCCGGCGACCAGGGAGCGAGACCUCCAACCCCCGUCCUCUCGCCGGCUGCGUGUUUCCCCGUUCCGUAGACCAGGUAUGAAGAGGGCCGCGCCGUCGGAGGAGCCGGUGGAGCUCUCUUCCGGCGACGACCUGAGCUCGGAUUCCGACGAUGAGGCCGGGAACGGGAAAGGCGAGAACUCCUUCCGGCUGCCCAUGUCCUCCAAAUCUGCAGCUCCAGCAAAAGGUGCAUUGAUCAGGAGGGCUGAAAUGUAUCAAGAGUACAUGAAGCACAUCCCAAUUCCUGAUCACUGCAGCUCCUUGAUCCCAUCCACAUCAUGGCUGGGACUCGGAAGAUCGGUGAAGCAGUUGUACGAGCAGCCCUUGCAUUACCUCACCAACAUCCUCUUGAGACAGUGGGAUCAACAGAGGGUUGGGAGCGAUAAUGAGCACCAGCCUCUGGAUGCUAUCAUUCACCCUAUGAAAGCUCAAGCCCUCAUUUGGGCCACUGAAGAAGUCCAUAGGCUGACCACCUCUAGUGACCACUUAGAGAAGGUCUGGGCUAAAGACCCCAUGUAUCAUGCUAACAUAGAUCCAGUGUUCCCUUCCCUAAAGUUGCAUUAGCAAACAUCGCAAGUUGGACCGUCUUAUCCUGUCUAUUUUGUUUCUGCCUGCUGUGUAAUCUGGCACAUUUUGGUUGUUAGCGAAGUGAUAUGAACCAUAUAUCACUGAUGUUAAACGUACGAUAUGUCAUGGUCAGGGUCUCUUUUAACGCUGAUUUUAGCUCUCUGAACAGCGUCUUUGUUGAAGAAGAAGAAACCUGGUGGUGUGGAUUUCAGUGCUUUGAGCCGGCACGGGUAUCGUGGCGGACCAUCUAUACUGACAGUUGCUCCUCCAAAGGUUGAACCUAACUGGACUUGGUCCACUGGGAAAGAUCGCAACGAGAAGGAAGUUCUAACCGAGUCUUUUGAAGAGCGGGAACGCACAAGGGCUGCAGUAACUGAAGGAGAGAAGCUUAUCGGUGUGAUGAACCCCCAACCAAGGCAGACCGAGAAAGAGAAGGAUGCUGCUUCAUUCUCACAGAAGGAGAAGCGGAAGAGAGACCGUGGGCAGGCCAGCAGGGGUAAGAACUACGUCGAGGAGGAGAAGCGGCUCCUGAGGGGGAGUGGUGUCUACUCUGGCUUCGAUACUUGACAGUGUCCAGAACAUAUGUUAUUUGUCCGUGUUAGCUUCCGUCGUUACUGUUGGUGUGUCUGCUGUUUAGUUUUGUCGCGAAGUUCACUCUGGUCAAUCGGGGCUAUGCUUAUUCUGUAUCACCUAUCUGUCUUUGGGCUGGUUUAAACUUUGACACGCCUGCUAUUUUGCCAGAGCAGUGCUCCCGUGUCCAUCUUCGGCUAUGAUAGAUCCUGCGAACCAGCUUUGCGGCAAUGUAUCAUAGCCAUUCUUACCGGUGAGAUCUGUGUAUUAUGGUGAAGUGUUUUUUCUCUUUCUCUUUUUUGUCUCGGAAGGCUGACUAAAUGGGUUUACCGACUAAACUGGUCAACUCAAUGAACUCGUCCACAAAAGGCACAGCAUUCUUAUGUUCUUGCUAAUGAAAUUACAGGGAGAGAUAUCAAAUGGUAUUGGAUCAGAAUCGUGCGUUCUUGAUUUUCGCAGAGACAGGC